AUUGAACGCUGGCGGCAGGCCUAACACAUGCAAGUCGAACGGAGUGGCGGACGGGUGAGUAAUGCCUAGGAAUCUGCCUGAUGGGGGGGGAUAACUACCGGAAACGGGCGCUAAUACCGCAUACUAUCGGAUGAGCCUAGAUGGGAUUAGCUAGUUGGUGGGGUAAAGGCUCACCAAGGCGACGAUCCGUAACUGGUCUGAGAGGAUGAUCAGUCACACUGGAACUGAGACACGGUCCAGACUCCUACGGGAGGCAGCAGUGGGGAAUAUUGGACAAUGGGCGAAAGCCUGAUGCAGCCAUGCCGCGUGUGUGAAGAAGGUCUUCGGAUUGUAAAGCACUUUAAGUUGGGAGGCGUUACCCACAGAAUAAGCACCGGCUAACUUCGUGCCAGCAGCCGCGGUAAUUC
rnacentral:rRNA from 1 species